UACGAAGGGGGCUAGCGUUGCUCGGAAUCACUGGGCGUAAAGGGUGCGUAGGCGGGUCUUUAAGUCAGGGGUGAAAUCCUGGAGCUCAACUCCAGAACUGCCUUUGAUACUGAGGAUCUUGAGUUCGGGAGAGGUGAGUGGAACUGCGAGUGUAGAGGUGAAAUUCGUAGAUAUUCGCAAGAACACCAGUGGCGAAGGCGGCUCACCGGCCCGAUACUGACGCUGAGGUGCGAAAGCGUGGGGAGCAAACAGG
rnacentral:rRNA from 1 species